rnacentral:rRNA from 1 species
AUUGAACGCUGGCGGCAGGCCUAACACAUGCAAGUCGAGCGGAUGACGGGAGGUUGCUCCUUGAUUCAGCGGCGGACGGGUGAGUAAUGCCUAGGAAUCUGCCUGGUAGUGGGGGACAACGUUUCGAAAGGAACGCUAAUACCGCAUACGUCCUACGGGAGAAAGCAGGGGACCUUCGGGCCUUGCGCUAUCAGAUGAGCCUAGGUCGGAUUAGCUAGUUGGUGGGGUAAUGGCUCACCAAGGCGACGAUCCGUAACUGGUCUGAGAGGAUUGUCAGUCACACUGGAACUGAGACACGGUCCAGACGCCGACGGUAGGCAGCAGUGGGGAAUAUUGGACAAUGGGAGAAAGCCUGAUCCAGCCAUGCCGCGUGUGUGAAGAAGGUCUUCGGAUUGUAAAGCACUUUAAGUUGGGAGGAAGGGCAGUAAGUUAAUACCUUGCUGUUUUGACGUUACCGACAGAAUAAGCACCGGCUAACUCUGUGCCAGCCGCCGCGGUAAAAC